rnacentral:rRNA from 1 species
GCCCAGACUCCUACGGGAGGCAGCAGUGGGGGAUAUUGCACAAUGGGGGGAACCCUGAUGCAGCGACGCCGCGUGGGUGAAGGAGUAUUUCGGUAUGUAAAGCCCUAUCGGCAGGGAAGAAGCAAGACGGUACCUGACUAAGAAGCCCCGGCUAACUACGUGCCAGCAGCCGCGGUAAUACGUAGGGGGCGAGCGUUAUCCGGAUUCACUGGGUGUAAAGGGAGCGUAGACGGCGACGCAAGUCUGGAGUGAAAGCCCGGGGCCCAACCCCGGGACUGCUCUGGAAACUGCGUCGCUGGAGUACGGGAGGGGCAGGCGGAAUUCCUGGUGUAGCGGUGAAAUGCGUAGAUAUCAGGAGGAACACCGGCGGCGAAGGCGGCCUGCUGGACCGUGACUGACGUUGAGGCUCGAGAGCGUGGGGAGCAAACAGGAUUAGAUACCCGAGUAC